GACGAACGCUGGCGGCGUGCCUAAUACAUGCAAGUAGAACGCUGAAGGAGGAGCUUGCUCUUCUGGAUGAGUUGCGAACGGGUGAGUAACACGUAGGUAACCUGCCUGGUAGCGGGGGAUAACUAUUGGAAACGAUAGCUAAUACCGCAUAACAGUAGAUGUUGCAUGACAUUUGCUUAAAAGGUGCAAUUGCACCACUACCAGAUGGACCUGCGUUGUAUUAGCUAGUUGGUGGGGUAACGGCUCACCAAGGCGACGAUACAUAGCCGACCUGAGAGGGUGAUCGGCCACACUGGGACUGAGACACGGCCCAGACUCCUACGGGAGGCAGCAGUAGGGAAUCUUCGGCAAUGGACGGAAGUCUGACCGAGCAACGCCGCGUGAGUGAAGAAGGUUUUCGGAUCGUAAAGCUCUGUUGUAAGAGAAGAACGAGUGUGAGAGUGGAAAGUUCACACUGUGACGGUAUCUUACCAGAAAGGGACGGCUAACUACGUG
rnacentral:rRNA from 1 species